CCUACGGGGGGCUGCAGUCGAGAAUCAUUCGCAAUGGGCGAAAGCCUGACGGUGCGACGCCGCGUGGAGGAUGAAGGCCCUAGGGUCGUAAACUCCUGUCAUCAGGGAGUAAAGACUCGUGUAGUCACUGACACGGGUCCUGAUAGUACCUGAAGAGGAAGGGACGGCAAACUUCGUGCCAGCAGCCGCGGUAAUACGAAGGUCCCAAGCGUUGUUCGGAUUUACUGGGCGUGAGAAGUCUGUAGGCGAAGCCCGGGGCUCAACCCCGGAACUGCAUCCGAUACUGCCUUGCUAGAGGAUUGGAGGGGAGUCUGGAAUGCUCGGUGUAGCAGUGAAAUGCGUAGAUAUCGGGAGGAACACUAGUGGCGAAGGCGAGACUCUGGACAAUUACUGACGCUGAGAGACGAAGGUCAGGGGAGCGAAAAGGAUUAGAUACCCCAGUAGUC
rnacentral:rRNA from 1 species